ensembl:lncRNA
GUUUUUCACAUGACAUUUACCGAACGCGACAUGUAAAUGAUAUGGCUUGUCUUUUGUUUUAACCCUGCUAUCACACUGUAGAGUGGCUACCUCACGCACAGUAUAUAAAUACGGGCACUGAAGAAGCUAAUAUCAUGGGGUAUAACAGUAUAAUUAGCAGCCUGGCUGGCUGGAGUCUUCCAGGUUCCAGGUUGGUAUUUUCUUAAUGGGCUUUUUCCCGAAACACCCUCCACCUGUGCCGUCUUAACGACUGCUUCAGUGAACCUGCUGGAGCCCAAACCCCGGCUUGGAGAGUACAUCUACCGUCUGAGAUGCUGCUAUUUGAGCUAGCUCGUACGGUGCUGGAGCCAAGACUCAUGCGGGUGUUUCCCAUGUGUAUCAAGAAUGGUCCACCACGUAAAGGAGAUCCAACCAACUUGACACAGCUGUGGGAAGCAUUGGAGUCAACACGAUCCAGCAUCCCUGUGGAAUGCUUUCAACACCUUGUAGAGUCCAUGCACAACAAAUUGAGGCUGUUCUGAGGGCAAAACGGUGUGCAUCUCAAUAUAAGGAAGGUGUUGUACACUGUGUACAUUUUGUUACGCCAUGGCAGUAGGGGAGAGUGGGGUAUUUUGAGCUAGUUUUUAUAUUCAGCAUCACAGUGUCGAGGGAAAUAAAGUAUUCUUUCUAACAAAGAUUUCUACAUAUAUUUCAGGAUGUUGUGUAUCCCUGGAAAUAAUCCGAAUUAAUGUAAACAUAACAGUUUUGAAAACAUAACUUGUCUAGAAAAAAGUCACACAACUUACCACAGAUAUGGGGUAAAUUGAGCCGCCUUGGGGUAAGUGAGUGAUAAUGUCCUGUGACAGUGGGUGAUGGUGCUGGUAGGUCAAAGUUGAAUUCAUGGAAUGGGGGU